rnacentral:rRNA from 1 species
CUGAUAUAAAUAUUAAAGGGCUGCAGUAUAUUGACUGUACAAAGGUAGCAUAAUCAAUAGUCUCUUAAUUAGUGACUGGAAUGAAUGAUUGGAUGAGGUAUAAACUGUCUUGGAUUAAAAUUAUAGAAAUUAAUUUUUUUAUUAAAAAGUUAAAAUGAAAUUAAAAGACGAGAAGACCCUAUAGAGUUUUAUAAAUUUUUUUUAGUAAAAUUUAUUUAAAAGUUAAAAUUAUUAAAAUAAAUUUAAUUUAUUGGGGUGAUAAAAAAAUUAAAUUAACUUUUUUUAAAUUAAUUAACAAAAAUUAGUGGGAUGUUGAUCCAGUAUUAUUGAUUAUAAGAAUAAAUUACCUUAGGGAUAACAGCGUUAUUUUUUUUUUU